rnacentral:rRNA from 1 species
AUGGGCAGGGGAUACUACUGUCAUCCUAACCAUCCAACCACAGGGAUUUUGGCCUGUAGGGGAUUAAUUCCCCCUCAAUCCCCUUCAAAUCCACCUCAACCGAACAAGCCCUUCAGAAAGUUCAUCAUCUCAUACGUAUUCUACGUCAAGCUUCUAUUUGCUUCCCCGUCUGUUUUGAAAAAGCCACCAAGUUUUAGUGUUGAAGGCGUGGUGGCGGGGCGAUGGCUUGUGCUCGGCCUGGUGGUGGCGGCCGCCCAUGCACAAGAGUUGGAUUUCUUCAAACAGAUCUGGCCGUCCAGAAGGAGUGUAGACGGGCCGGACGCAUUGACCUACUGUGUGAAUGGCCCCACAUUGUGCGGCCCAGGCGAGCGAGAAAUAUCGUAUCGGCAUUGCCGUCGAGGCCCAUCCCGGACGGAGAAAGAGUGGGGAAGAGGGAAGGGCCGGGGGCGCAGCGCCGCCGGCGAUACGCGGCGGCUGAACUACGCCGCGGCGGCAGAGGCAUCAACGUCGACCGUCUCUUCUUCGCUCGCCGGUCAGGUAGGCUGCUCGUCCCUUGAUCCUCACGCGCACGACGGUGUGGUAGCUGAUCAUGAAAACCUGCUAAGGAGCUAUGUCGCAACAUUGAGGAAGAAGAGGAGGAAAGGACAGGCGCCACUGAUGAAGCCCUGUCGACAAAGGCAUUGGCAGUUGCAACUUUGCAGCAUACUGGCCAUCGCUACGCAGCACUGCACUGAAGCUGUGCUUCUUCUCCAGGUAAUGACCUUCGAUGCUCUAGUGAAGCGGCUUGCUGGAGCGGAGAAGGGAGGAGCCUGUGGCCCAUGUGUUAGAGCGCGGUCGUUUCUGGUUGAGGUUUCGGGUUGGUUCCCCCAGUACUUGAUAUCAUAUAUGGCACUGGAGCACUCAAGAAUUGGAAGGGGUGGAUAUGGAGACGUUUACAAGGGAGUAUAUGAUGGGAGAGAGAUUGCUGUGAAGUUGCUUCAUGUUGAUACUCUGCGGGGACUUGACGACCAACAAUUUAAAAAUGAAGUUGGUAACCUUUUGAGGGCCAAGCAUCAAAAUAUCGUACAGUUAGUUGGUUAUUGUUAUGAAACAAGGAAGAGAUAUGUUGAUAACAAUGGUGCGAACGAUUUUAGUGAGCGCAUAUAUAAAGUCAUCUGCUUUGAGUACUUGAAGGGUGGAAGCCUAGACAAGUGUCUUUAUGGACAAUCUUUUGCACCUAAUUGGAGCACACGUUACAAUAUUAUGAAGGGGAUUUGUGAAGGUUUGAAUUUCCUUCACAAAUGUGAACCGCAAAUUUGGCAUCUUGAUUUGAAGCCUGCCAAUAUACUACUGGACAGUUCCAUGGAGCCUAAAUUGGCAGAUUUUGGAUUGUCAAGGCUCUUCACUCAAUCACACACUCAUGUCACGGAAAGAAUUAUAGGGACCUGGAAGUAUAUGCCGCCAGAAUUCAUAAAAGAAGGCAACAUCUCAUCUAAGAAUGAUGUCUUCAGUUUAGGUGUUGUAAUGAUAGAGAUAAUGACAGAAAGACCUACGGGUUACUCCACUUCUUUAGAAAUGGGUGACAUAGAAAAAUUAAUGCAGAAGGUACACACCAAUCGGGAAAAAACGAUAAAAGCCACAUCAGAAUACCCAUUGGAGGAAUCACAUCAAGUGCAGACAUGCAUCAGCAUAGCAAUGCGUUGUGUGGAACCUGACAAAAACAAACGGCCCACUAUAGCAGAAGUUCUGGAUAUUCUAAACAAGACAGAAACUCAUAUUCCCAAGAGACAGGAUAGCUUGACCGGGGUGCAGAGGGUGUUGGACAUAAUGCCCAUGCAAUCAUCUGGGCUGGAAAAUAAACCAACCAUGCGGCAGCAGUGGCUGCCGGAGAUGGCAGUUGGAGAGAGGAGAGGCAUGCAGGAAGGUGUCGCUCGGUGGCUGUUGAUGCAGCCCAUAGCAGCUUACUUAAUAUAUGGCAUUGGAGGCAUUGGCAAGACAACCUUGGCACAAUUGAUAUUCAAUGACACGCAGUUCCAUGAAUACUCUCGGGUGUGGGUCUAUGUUUCCCAGGAAUUUGACUUGAAGAAAAUUGGCAACUCUAUAAUAUCACAGUUAACAAACAAGACCAGCAAUAUAUCUAACAGACAGAUGCUCUAUGAACGCCUUAAAGAGCUAUUUUCUGGUAACAACAUCCUUAUUGUUUUAGAUGACCUAUGGGAGGAGAAGCAAACAUGGUUAGCUGAAUUGAAGGUUAUGCUAGGGCUUGGCCUAGGAAGAAAGGUGAUUAUAGUAACUACACGUGAUGGAGGCCUCGCAAGGAAAAUAUGUAGUCCCACAGUUACACCAUACAAGCUGGAGACUUUGACAGUCGAUGAGUGCUGGACUAUUUUAAAACAAAAGGCCGGCUUUGAAAACCGAGUGGACAAAGAACAAUUGGAACAUAUAGGAAGGGAGAUUGCAACCAAGUGUGGAGGUGUGGCCUUGGCAGCUCAAUCACUUGGAUACAUGUUGAAUGGCAUGACAUCAGAUGAAUGGGAGUCAGUGGGAGACAGUUAUAUCUGGAAUCUAUCUACUUCAGAGGGCCAUGAAGUGCUUGCUUCCUUGCAACUAAGCUAUAGCCACAUGUCUGAUUGGUUGAAGUUGUGCUUUUCCUAUUGUGCAAUCUUUCCAAAAGGUCACAAAAUAGUAAAGUAUUAUCUAAUUCACCAAUGGGUUGCUCUUGGAUUUGUCGAGCAAUCUAGGAUAUUUGAUUCUAUGCAGCUCUGUGAGAAAUAUAUCACCCAACUUCUUGGGAUGUCCUUCCUUCAACACUCAAAGACAACUUCGGAUCUGCAUGAGCGCCAUGGCUUGACCAAUCAACGUGCCUGCCCACUUUUCGAUCAGCUCGACGACACGAUAUCGCACCUUCCCACAGAAUUUGUUUCUGCACGAAGAUUUGGCACCGUGUACUUUCCGUGUCUCGCUGUAGCAGAUGGCCUAUCGGCCGGACGAGGGGAUGGACUACAAGACAAAGACGUUACAUUUUUCACAAUGCAUGACCUAGUGCAUGAUCUUGCAAAAGAGAUCUUGGCCCAUCAAGUGAACACUGGGGAAAACAAAUGCCGCUAUGCAUUGCUCACAGAUUGUGGCAAGUCAUUGCACUUGUCUGUGACUUUUCCUGCAAAUAUAAAGGCGCUACAUUUUCAGGGCUGUGGCAAGCAAGAACUUUGUGGUGGUGCAUUUUCGUCAGCGAAGAACCUCUGUGUCUUGGACUUAAGUGAAUGUUUGAUUCCGAUGUUACCUGAUUCUAUUGGUCAACUGAAGCAUUUGAGGUUUCUUCAUGCUCCAGGAAUCCAAUAUCAAAUGAUUCCCAAUUGUAUUACUGAACUCUCAGAAUUAAAUUACCUCAGCCUUAGAGACUCUCCUAAUAUCUCAGCAUUGCCAGAGUCAAUUGGUAAUAUGAAAGCUCUGAUGCACCUUGAUUUAUCACGUUGUUUCAAGAUUCGUCAACUCCCAAUGUCAUUCACGCAGCUGAAGCAGUUGGUGCAUUUGAAUUUAUGCGGUUGCAGGGUAUAUACAUCAGAAGCUUUGGGUGGCUUUACCAAACUUCAAUAUUUGAAUAUAUCAGGACAACCUAUUGUAGACGUGGUUAGGAGAGGGUUGUCAGAGGUAAUUGGCGGCCUAACAAAACUCAGGUAUCUAAAUCUAUCGUACUGCAUUGACAUUGAGGUCACAUCAUAUCAGAUUGACAACUUGCUUGCUUCUAUCAGCACACUUUCUAGUCUAGAGCAUCUGGACCUGUCAAAUAGCAAUGAUGAAGUGUUUAACAGUAUACCAGAAAGUUUUGGCAACCUCAGGAAGCUUCAUACAUUGGACCUCACAGGCUGUUUUGGCCUAGAGAAGCUUCCUGAUUGUAUGGAUCAGAUGAUGAAGCCGCAUAUGACGAACCGUGAGCUCCAAGGCGGCGCCUCCAAGAAGGUUACGACGCUAUCGCGCCGCCACCGCUUGACCCGGGGGUCAGAGUUUCCCCUGGAGCGACACGAUGACCGAGACGAGUGGAAAGGUCGCUCCUUUACACACCCCUGGACGGCCCCCGGCGCCGAGACCCAAAGGGCCAGCCCAAAAAUGGCCUCCAUCACCCGUCCUGCUGCAUCGGGUGCAAGACAAGCUCGGUCCUGCUGCCGGGUGCGAGACGAGGCCGGUCCUGCUGCCGGGCGCGAGACGAGCAAUGGACCGCAACCGGGAGCGGUCCAGCCCUAUGACGAGGGUAGAGCCCGGACGACGAGGGGAGGAAUCGAAGGUCGAAAAAGGCCGCUCACCGACGGCCGACGCCGGAGGAGACCAGCCGCCGCCGUGAAACGAUCCAGACCACCACCAGGAGCUACCACCACGCCGCGGCAGCCCACAUCCACGCCGAGACCCCGAGGAGCAGCCCCGAGCCACUUUGCAGCGGCUGCGACACGCCGCCGGAGAUGCAGCCCACCCCUCGGCCAUGGAGGCCCGGCGCCCCGCCACCCCGCAAGGAGCAACCAGACCGCCGGCCGCCCCGCCACCACCUUAGCCAGCCUCCGGUACGCGGGAAGAAGACGCCCCGCCGCCGCCUACGUCGCGCGGCCUUUGGCCGGCGACGCGACCGACGGCGGCGAGGGGAGGGAGGCCGGGGAGGGGGGCUGGGGAGCGGCGGCGCUAGGGUUGGCUCCCAGAGUCGCCCGCGGGAGCGACUCGGGAGCGGGCCAAAAGAACCAGUUCCAGUUCAUUGUUGGAAAAACUAGUGCCACCAAGCAGUAUUGGCUUAUGGGUAUCAGGCAAUAUCUCCCUAAUCUUUAUUCGUUACGUUUAUUUGAUUUUCCGAAGUGCAACAAGCUACCCCCACUUGGUCUACUACCAAAUUUAGAAUACCUGAGUCUCACCCGUAUGGACGACUUGGAAGAGUGGAACACCGCACAUUACAGUGGCAAGAAAGGUUCAAAUGAGCUCUUGUUCCCUAAUCUUUGGGAGUUGAGGAUAGAACAAUGUGCCAAGCUGAGGGUAAAGCCGUGUCUGCCUAGAGCUAAGUAUUUGUACAUAUAUGACUCUGACAAUAUGCUAUCAUCAUGGGAAGAGAGCCCUUUAGGCAGUGGUACUUCCUCCUCUUCUCCAUUAACUGAGCUGAAUGUUGCUGAAAGCAAGGUGCCCAUGCAUGAGUGGAGGUUGCUUCACCACCUCCCUGCCCUCCGUGACUUAACCAUCACCGGUUGCAGUGAUCUGACCACCUCACCUCAGAUCAUCCACAGCCUCUCCUCGCUUGAAUCAUUGCGGCUCGAGCAGGCAGAACUGCCGGGAUGGUUGGUUGAGCAACUAACUCUGUGUGGGUGUGCAAGCAUGACACUACCAGAGUGGUUAGGACAACUUCCCUCUCUCAAGAGAUUUGAGCUCAGGAACUGCAAGGGUAUCAGCUCUUUGCCGGACAGCAUACAACAACUGACCAAGCUUGAGCGUCUAAUCAUUUAUGACUGCCCACCAUUAGUGGAAUGGUGUGAAUCAAAGGAGAACAAGAGGAAGCUCGCUCACAUCACAGAGGUAUGUCGCCCCAUCAUCAUUAAGGGCCGAUAUGAUCCCAUUCAUGGUAUUUUGACUAUUUGGGAUGUGCAUCCGGAGGCGGUGCUUAGUGCUGUUGUGAUGAACACGCCUGACUUCACAGAGGAAGCUUUGAGAGUUGCCGUGUCUCAUUUGCUGGACGACAAGUUCCAGGGCAUUCAAUAUAUGAGUUUGUACGUGGAGGACCGAGCACUGUGGCUCAGGAGCUUCAUGGCAAAGCGUUACUACUAA